rnacentral:rRNA from 1 species
UACGAAGGGGGCUAGCGUUGCUCGGAAUCACUGGGCGUAAAGGGCGCGUAGGCGGGCUCUUAAGUCAGGGGUGAAAGCCCAAGGCUCAACCUUGGAAUUGCCUUUGAUACUGAGGGCCUUGAGACCGGAAGAGGUCGGCGGAACUGCGAGUGUGGAGGUGAAAUUCGUAGAUAUUCGCAAGAACACCAGUGGCGAAGGCGGCCGACUGGUCCGGUUCUGACGUUGAGGCGCGAAAGCGUGGGGAGCAAACAGG